UUCAUCACCUGUUUUUUUCUUGCCAAACUACUAAUGGUGUCUGGAGCAGAAUCUGCAGUUGGUUGGGUCAACAAAGGGUAGUAGCAGACUGGGAGACAGAAUUGCAAUGGGUAUGUAAUAAGGCAAAGAGUCAUAUGGCUUUCAAUGAAAUAAUUGUCUGUGCUUUCAUUCAUACUGUCGCUCUUAUAUGGCGAGAGAGGAACAACAUAAGAUUUAAC
rnacentral:lncRNA from 1 species